rnacentral:rRNA from 1 species
GAUGAACGCUGGCGGCGUGCCUAAUACCUUUAAGUCGAGCGAACAGAUGAGAAGCUUGCUUCUCUGAUGUUAGCGGCGGACGGGUGAGUAACACGUGGGUAACCUACCUAUAAGACUGGGAUAACUCCGGGAAACCGGGGCUAAUACCAGAUAAUACAUUGAACCGCAUGGUUCAAUGUUGAAAGACGGUUUCGGCUGUCACUUAUAGAUGGACCCGCGCCGUAUUAGCUAGUUGGUAAGGUAACGGCUUACCAAGGCAACGAUACGUAGCCGACCUGAGAGGGUGAUCGGCCACACUGGAACUGAGACACGGUCCAGACUCCUACGGGAGGCAGCAGUAGGGAAUCUUCCGCAAUGGGCGAAAGCCUGACGGAGCAACGCCGCGUGAGUGAUGAAGGUCUUAGGAUCGUAAAACUCUGUUGUUAGGGAAGAACAAAUUUGUUAGUAACUGAACAAGUCUUGACGGUACCUAACCAGAAAGCCACGGCUAACUACGUGCCAGCAGCCGCGGUAAUACGUAGGUGGCAAGCGUUAUCCGGAAUUAUUGGGCGUAAAGCGCGCGUAGGCGGUUUCUUAAGUCUGAUGUGAAAGCCCACGGCUCAACCGUGGAGGGUCAUUGGAAACUGGGGAACUUGAGUGCAGAAGAGGAGAGUGGAAUUCCAUGUGUAGCGGUGAAAUGCGCAGAGAUAUGGAGGAACACCAGUGGCCGAAGGCGGCUCCUCUGGGUCUGUAACUGACGCUGAUGUGCGAAAGCGUGGAGAUCAAACAGGAUUAGAUACCCCGGUAGUACACUCCGUAAACGAUGAGUGCUAAGUGUUAGGGGGUUUCCGCCCCUUAGUGCUGCAGCUAACGCAUUAAGCACUCCGCCUGGGGAGUACGACCGCAAGGUUAAAACUCAAAGGAAUUGACGGGGACCCGCACAAGCGGUGGAGCAUGUGGUUUAAUUCGAAGCAACGCGAAGAACCUUACCAAAUCUUGACAUCCUUUGACCGCUCUAGAGAUAGAGCCUUCCCCUUCGGGGGACAAAGUGACAGGUGGUGCAUGGUUGUCGUCAGCUCGUGUCGUGAGAUGUUGGGUUAAGUCCCGCAACGAGCGCAACCCUUAAGAUUAGUUGCCAUCAUUAAGUUGGGCACUCUAGGUUGACUGCCGGUGACAAACCGGAGGAAGGUGGGGAUGACGUCAAAUCAUCAUGCCCCUUAUGAUUUGGGCUACACACGUGCUACAAUGGAUAAUACAAAGGGCAGCGAACCCGCGAGGUCAAGCAAAUCCCAUAAAAUUAUUCUCAGUUCGGAUUGUAGUCUGCAACUCGACUACAUGAAGCUGGAAUCGCUAGUAAUCGUAGAUCAGCAUGCUACGGUGAAUAAGUUCCCGGGUCUUGUACACACCGCCCGUCACACCACGAGAGUUUGUAACACCCGAAGCCGGUGGAGUAACCUUAAAUUAGGAGCUAGCCGUCGAAGGUGGGAC